GACGAACGCUGGCGGCGUGUUUAACACAUGCAAGUCGAACGAUGAACCCGGAGCUUGCUCCGGCGGAUUAGUGGCGAACGGGUGAGUAACACGUGAGUAACCUGCCCUUGACUCUGGGAUAACUGCGGGAAACUGUAGCUAAUACCGGAUACGACCCUCGGCGGCAUCGCCAGGGGGUGGAAAGAAUUUCGGUCAAGGAUGGACUCGCGGCCUAUCAGCUAGUUGGUGAGGUAACGGCUCACCAAGGCGACGACGGGUAGCCGGCCUGAGAGGGUGACCGGCCACACUGGGACUGAGACACGGCCCAGACUCCUACGGGAGGCAGCAGUGGGGAAUAUUGCACAGUGGGCGCAAGCCUGAUGCAGCAACGCCGCGUGAGGGAUGACGGCCUUCGGGUUGUAAACCUCUUUUAGUAGGGAAGAAGCGAAAGUGACGGUACCUGCAGAAAAAGCACCGGCUAACUACGUGCCAGCCGCCGCGGUAA
rnacentral:rRNA from 1 species